ACACCGGCAGCUCGAGUGGUAGCCGCGUUUAUUGGGCCUAAAGGGUCCGUAGCCGGUCCGAUAAGUUUUUGGGGAAAUCCCCCAGUUCAACUUUGGGAAUCGCCGGAGAUACUAUCGGACUUGAGGCCGGGAGAGGCUGGAGGUACUCCCAGGGUAGGGGUGAAAUCCUAUAAUCCUGGGAGGACCACCUGUGGCGAAGGCGUCCAGCUGGAACGGACCUGACGGUGAGGGACGAAAGCCAGGGGCGCGAACCGGAUUAGAUACCCGGGUAGUCCUGGCCGUAAACGAUGCGGACUUGGUGUUGGGACGGCUUUGAGCUGUCCCAGUGCCGAAGGGAAGCUGUUAAGUCCGCCGCCUGGGAAGUACGGCCGC
rnacentral:rRNA from 1 species